GUGCUUGCUUUGGCAACACAUAUACUAAAACUAAUGAAACAAGACAGAGAAGAUUAGCAUGGCUCUUACGCAGGGAUGACAUGAAAAUUUGUGAAGCAUUUAUUCUAAAA
ensembl:snRNA U6 U6 spliceosomal RNA